rnacentral:rRNA from 1 species
UCCAUCGGCGACUCAAAAUCAGAGCUAAAAUCAUGCAGUCUGAACACGGCAUCAGCAAAGCUAAGUUUGGUCAGUACCUGGAUGGGGGACCACAUGGAAAAACUAGGUUGCUGUUGGAA